rnacentral:lncRNA from 1 species
GACGCGGCGGGCGGCUCCGGGAGGCGACGGGACCCCCAGGCCGGCAGCCGAGUGAAGAGGCAGGAACUGUCUACAAAUGCUCCGGCUCCGAAGCCCCGAGGGAAAGAGCAUCUUUCACGGAGCACCAGGAAUUGACGACGGUGGAAUUUGCUCAGAUCCCCUGAGGCCGGUUCUUUGAGUUUCUGUCUGGCCCUCCGGGAGAACCGUCCCAAAGUUAACUUUGAAAACACUCACAGGAGAGGGAAGGCUGUGGGGUCCUUCGCUUCUCAAACCCCAGAUGCCCCCGGAAAGAACACCGCCCCCGACCACCACCACAACCAGAUGUUUUUAAAAAGAGAUGCUAAGCAAAAGGCCUGAUUAUGAGGAAUGAGCCAAAGUCAUGCAAGGCGUGGGGCGCUAUGGGACUGCGCAGUGACGACCCAGUGAAGUAGAUGCCUUGACGAUUCCCAUUUCACGGAUGAGACGACUCCGGCACAGAGAAGUCAGAGGGCCUGUCCUGGGUCACACAGCCACAGGCGGCCCCCAGAACGGGACUUCAGGGUGCACCACUGCACCCCAGCAGAGACCUCCGCCUGGCACACAGGGAAUGCUGGAGCAAUACUUAAAUAGGGGAGGUCAGAAAUCUCACGGGCUCUGCUGGCUUCUGUGCUUCGUCUCUCAAGGCCAAAAUCAAGAUGUCAUCAGUGCUGAGCUCUGGUGCAGGAUCCACGUCCAGGCUCACUGGGGCUGCUGGCAGAAUUCAGCUGUGUGGGGUUGUAGGAAUGAAGUCCUUGUUUCCUUGCUGGCUGUUGGCCAGGGGCUGCCCUCAGCUUCUGGAGGCCGCCUGCCCUCCCUGGUUCAUGGCCCAUCUCAUCCUGACAGCCAGCACCCGCGGGAAGUCCCUCUUGCACUGUGACUCUCUCCCGCCUCUUCCAUUCUCUAUGGCUUGUCUGCCUCCCUCUUUCAUCUUUAAGAGUGCAUGUGAGUAUAUUGGACCUACCUGAAUCAGCCAGGCUAACCUCCCCAUUUUAAGGUCUGCAGCCUUAAUUCUACCUGCAAAGUCCCUUUUGCCAUGUAAUGUGCCAUAUUCACAGGUGUCAGGAAUCAGAGGGCAGGUAUAUUGGGGGACCAUUAUUCUGCCAACUACACAGGGCCUUAUAUGGUCUGGCUCUGUGUCCCCAUUCAAAUCUCAUCUUGAAUUGUAAUCCGAAUUGUAACCCCCACGUGUUGGGGGGAGGGACCUUGUGGGAGGUAAUUAAAUCAUGGGGGCGGUUACCCUCAUGCUGUUCUUGUGAUAGUGAGUGAGUUCUCACGAGAUCUGAAGGUUUUGCAAGGAGCUUUUCCCCCUUUUGCUCAGGACUCUCCUUCCUGCAGCCAAGUGAAGGACAAGUUUGCUUCCCCUUCCACAAUGAUUGUAAGUUUCUUGAGGCCUCUCCAGAACUAUGAGUCAAUUAAACCUCUUUCCUUUAUAAAAAAAAAAAAAAAAAAAA